CCUACGGGAGGCAGCAGUGAGGAAUAUUGGUCAAUGGGCGCGAGCCUGAACCAGCCAAGUAGCGUGAAGGAUGACUGCCCUACGGGGUGUAAACUUCUUUUAUAAAGGAAUAAAGUGAGGCACGUGUGCCUUUUUGUAUGUACUUUAUGAAUAAGGAUCGGCUAACUCCGUGCCAGCAGCCGCGGUAAUACGGAGGAUCCGAGCGUUAUCCGGAUUUAUUGGGUUGAAAGGGAGCGUAGAUGGGUUGUUAAGUCAGUUUUGAAAGUUUGCGGCUCAACCGUAAAAUUGCAAUUGAUACGUGCAGCCUUGAGGACAGUUGCGGUAGGCGGAAUUCGUUGUGUAGCGGUGAAAUUCUUA
rnacentral:rRNA from 1 species